rnacentral:rRNA from 1 species
CAGCAGCAGCCGCGGGAAUACGUAGGGUGCGAGCGUUAAUCGGAAUUACUGGGUGUAAAGCGUGCGCAGGCGGUUGUGUAAGACAGGUGUGAAAUCCCCGGGCUUAACCUGGGAACUGCGCUUGUGACUGCACAGCUAGAGUAUGGCAGAGGGGGGUGGAAUUCCACGUGUAGCAGUGAAAUGCGUAGAGAUGUGGAGGAACACCGAUGGCGAAGGCAGCCCCCUGGGCCAAUACUGACGCUCAUGCACGAAAGCGUGGGGAGCAAACAGGAUUAGAUACCCGCGUAGUCCCUGUCUCUUAUAC